CCACGCCAUCUCUUCAGUCCAAACAAAUCGUACAAAAACGUCCCAACCUGCUGACACAGAAAAAAAAAGAAAAGUAAAAGGAUGAAUAUGGUCAAAGGAUUUGGGAAACACCUUCUGACGUCAUCUGACGUUGCACCUAAAAAGUAUAUUUUAAAUAUUUUAUAGAAAUGUCUUUUUUUGGAUGGAGACAAACAAAGAAGAUUAGAAGAGGAAAAUACGCUAUUUUAAUACACAAUCCCCUGUGGCAAAUCUUUAAUAUAAUCCUGGUGCUACAGAAUCCAAAUGCUGCCACUUUAAGUGCUUGGAAUCAGAAAGAGAGAAUAGGAAUUUCUAAAAAUGUCAUUUUUACAGGGAACUCGGUUUUAUGAAUCUCAUCCCAAGUGCACUCCAGACAGCCUAAGAGAAAAUGCAGAGAAUGAUCACUUAAUCGUAUAUAUGGGAUUUUAUUGUUUACUAAAACAAUGGAGUGGGUAUAAAAAUUGUUUACUAUCCCACUUACGUGAUCAAGUAUUUCCCCAUCCCCGUUCAGAUGUGCUACUGUGUCAUGUUUAGCACAGAUCAGUCUUCUGCUCUCCAUUUCUCUCUUGCUGCUUCCUUUUUUUAAACCACUGGAUAUUUUAUUGCAAUUUUACAUCUCAUUUGCACUCUGUCACAUUUUUUUUGCCUUGCUAAAUGUUUUAGGUCCUCAGCUAUUUCGAACAUUUGUUUAUGUAAUUACUUGUAAUUGUACAUUGCUACAGAUCUGUCAUACCCAGGGGAGCGAUUGUAAUAAAAAUUGGUAAUAAAAUA